UGGGGAAUCUUGGACAAUGGGGGCAACCCUGAUCCAGCGAUGCCGCGUGGGUGAAGAAGGCCUUCGGGUUGUAAAGCCCUUUAGGCUGGGACGAAGGGUAUGGGACGAAUAAUCCUGUACUUUGACGGUACCAGCAGAAUAAGCACCGGCAAACUCUGUGCCAGCAGCCGCGGUAAUACAGAGGGUGCAAGCGUUAAUCGGAUUUACUGGGCGUAAAGGGCGCGUAGGCGGUGAUGUGAGUGUGAUGUGAAAGCCCCGGGCUUAACCUGGGAAGUGCAUCGCAAACGACAUGACUGGAGUAGAUGAGAGGGUGGCGGAAUUUCCGGUGUAGCGGUGAAAUGCGUAGAGAUCGGAAGGAACGUCAAUGGCGAAGGCAGCCACCUGGCAUCAUACUGACGCUGAGGCGCGAAAGCGUGGGGAGCGAACA
rnacentral:rRNA from 1 species